AUUCCAUGAUGAGGGCAUUUUCAUAGUAACUCUUUGAAUCUCUCCCACGUCUCAUACAAGGAUUCAUCAUCCAUUUGUUGGAAGGUAGUGAUCUCAUUUCGCAACU
rnacentral:snoRNA from 1 species